CCUACGGGGGGCUGCAGUGGGGAAUUUUGGACAAUGGGGGCAACCCUGAUCCAGCCAUGCCGCGUGCGGGAAGAAGGCCUUCGGGUUGUAAACCGCUUUUGUCGGGGAAGAAAUCCUCUGGGCUAAUACCUCGGCGGCAUGACGGUACCCGGAGAAUAAGCACCGGCUAACUACGUGCCAGCAGCCGCGGUAAUACGUAGGGUGCAAGCGUUAAUCGGAAUUAGUGGGCGUAAAGCGUGCGCAGGGAUGUGAAAGCCCCGGGCUCAACCUGGGAAGUGCAUUGGUGACUGCAAGGCUGGAGUGCAGCAGAGGGGGAUGGAAUUCCGCGUGUAGCAGUGAAAUGCGUAGAUAUGCGGAGGAACACCGAUGGCGAAGGCGAUCCCCUGGGCCUGCACUGACGCUCAUGCACGAAAGCGUGGGGAGCAAACAGGAUUAGAUACCCUAGUAGUC
rnacentral:rRNA from 1 species